ACUACAGUCUGUGCCAUGUCUGGCUGUACUGAAGACGUCCCCCAAACUACAGUCUGUGCCGCGUCCAGCUGUACUGAAGAGGUCCCCCAAACCACAGUCUGUGCCGCGCCCGGCUGUACUGAUGACGUCCCCCAAACUACAGUCUGUGCCAUGUCUGGCUGUACUGAAGACGUCCCCCAAACUACAGUCUGUGCCAUGUCUGGCUGUACUGAAGACGUCCCCCAAACUACAGUCUGUGCCACGUCCGGCUGUAGUAAUGAGGACCCCAUUUGGAUGUCACAGAGAAUAAGCUGUACUAAUGACGACAAUUCUGCCAGAUUAAGUGACGACACCUCGUUUUUCACUGCCACGCCCAAAUUAAGUGAUGACGUCUCGUUUUUCAUUGGCACGUCUAAAUUAAGUGAUGUCUCGUUUUUCAUUGGCACGUCUAAAUUAAGUGAUGAUGUCUCGUUUUUCAUUGGCACAUCUAAAUUAUGUGAUGUUGUCUCGUUUUUCACUGUCACGCCCAAAUUAAGUGACGAUGUCUCGUUUUUCACUGCCACGCCCAAAUUAAGUGAUAACGUCUCGUUUUUCAUUGGCACAUCUAAAUUAAGUGACGACAUCUCGUUUUUCACUGCUACGCCCAAAUUAAGUGACGAUGUCUCGUUUUUCACUGCUACGCCCAAAUUAAGUGAUGAUGUCUCGUUUUUCACUGCUACGUCUAAAUUAAGUGAUAACGUCUCGUUUUUCAUUGGCACAUCUAAAUUAAGUGAUGACGUCUCGUUUUUCACUGCCACGCCCAAAUUAAGUGACGACAUCUCGUUUAUCACUGCUACGCCCAAAUUAAGUGACGACAUCUCGUUUAUCACUGCUACGCCCAAAUUAAGUGACGAUGUCUCGUUUUUCACUGCUACGCCCAAAUUAAGUGACGAUGUCUCGUUUUUCAUUGGCACAUCUAAAUUAAGUGAUGACGUCUCGUUUUUCACUGCCACGCCCAAAUUAAGUGAUGACGUCUCGUUUUUCAUUGGCACAUCUAAAUUACGUGAUGUUGUCUCGUUUUUCACUGCCAUGCCCAAAUUAAGUGAUAACGUCUCGUUUUUCAUUGGCACAUCUAAAUUAAGUGACGACAUCUCGUUUUUCACUGCUACGCCCAAAUUAAGUGACGAUGUCUCGUUUUUCACUGCUACGCCCAAAUUAAGUGACGAUGUCUCGUUUUUCACUGCUACGCCCAAAUUAAGUGAUAACGUCUCGUUUUUCAUUGGCACAUCUAAAUUAAGUGAUGACGUCUCGUUUUUCACUGCCACGCCCAAAUUAAGUGACGACAUCUCGUUUAUCACUGCUACGCCCAAAAUAAGUGACGAUGUCUCGUUUAUCACUGCUACGCCCAAAUUAAGUGACGAUGUCUCGUUUUUCACUGCUACGCCUAAAUUAAGUGACGAUGUCUCGUUUUUCAUUGGCACAUCUAAAUUAAGUGAUGACGUCUCGUUUUUCAUUGGCACGUCUAAAUUAAGUGACGACAUCUCGUUUUUCACUGCUACGCCCAAAUUAAGUGACGAUGUCUCGUUUUUCAUUGGCACAUCUAAAUUAAGUGAUGUCUUGUUUUUCACUGCCACGCCCAAAUUAAGUGACAUCUCUCCAUCUUUUUUCCCUGUGAUGUCCAAAUUAAGUGGUGACGUCUCUCUAGCUUUUUUCUCUGCCAAGUCCAUAUUAAGUAUUGAUGUCCCUCCAGGCAGUUUGCCUGCGAUGUCCAAAUGUAUUAAUGACGGCCCUCCAGCUUUAUUCCCUGUGAUGUCCAAAAGUAAUGAUGAUGCCCCUCCAGUUUUAUUUUAUGUCACAUCCAAAUGUAUUAAUGACGGCCCUCCAGCUUUAUUCCCUGUGAUGUCCAAAAGUAAUGAUGAUGCCCCUCCAGUUUUAUUUUAUGUCACAUCCAAAUGUAUUAAUGACGGCCCUCCAGCUUUAUUCCCUGUGAUGUCCAAAAGUAAUGAUGACGUCCCUCCAGUUUUAUUUUAUGUCACGUCUGACUGUAGAGAUGACACCCUCCAAGCUUCAGUCCGUUUUGUAGAUGACUUGAGUGUUGGCGUCCCUCAGUUUCCAGUCCACGAAACAUUAGAUUGUAGAGUCAAUGUCCCCCAAGCUACAACCUGUGAAGUGCCCGACUGUAGUGUUGACGUCCCCCAAGCUUUAGCCUGCGCAGCACCUGACUGUAGUGUUUAUACUCCCCAAACUCAGUCAAGCCAGCUACAGGAUAAUGAGACAAUUAUUGACAUCAAUUCAAGGCAUUAUGAAAUUGGCAGUCAGCUGGGUGAAGGAAGCUUUGGAACUGUUUAUGCUGCCACUCGUUUGGAUGAUGGCCUACAGGUGGCGAUAAAAUUUGCAUCCAACAAGAACACAAAGUUCAUCAGCAUUGACGGUUAUUCUAAACCUCUUCCUCUGGAGGUCGCUUUGCAAAUUCUUGCAAAUAAAGGCCCCAGGGUUGAGGAAAUCAUCCAGCUUCUGGACUGGCAGGUGGAUCCUGACUAUUACUUUAUGGUCCUAGAGCGGCCCAUGCCCUGUCAGUCCUUGUAUGAAUAUUUAAAGUGUUACAAGGGCACCAUGGAAGAGGACGUGGCACGAGUUAUAAUGCACCAGGCAAUAUUCGCCGCUCGAAUGUGCUGCCUGCGUGGAGUGUUGCACCGGGAUAUUAAGCUGGAAAACCUGCUGAUUAACCCGAACGCACUCGAAGUCAAAUUGAUUGACUUUGGCUGUGGUGCAAUCCUCACCGACGCGGGUUACACAUCCUUUGCUGGCACAAGAGAGUACUGCCCUCCUGAAUAUCGCAUGACGGGCAAGUACCACGGGGAACCAGCGACAGUGUGGUCUCUGGGAGUCAUCUUGUUUAUGAUACUUUUUCGUAAAUUUCCAAAGAGACGACACCUGCGCAAGAUUAAUGAUAAAAACUGGACCAAAGCUGGCUUGUCGAAAGAGUGCUGCGAUUUUAUUCGCCGUUGUCUGCAGAUCGACCCGAAGCAGCGGAUUGAACUGGGGAAACUCAGUCUCCACGACUGGCUUAUGACUGCAGACAAGCAGAAUAACAACAACACAAUAAUGGACAUCAAUUCAUGCCGUUAUGUAAUCAGCUGUCAGCUGGGUGAAGGAGGCUGUGGAACCGUUUAUGCAGCGACUCGUUUGGACGAUGGCCAAAAGGUAGCGAUAAAAGUCGUCUCCAACAGGAACAAGAAGUUCAUCAGUAUUGACGGUUAUUCUAAACCUCUUCCUCUGGAGGUCGCUUUGCAAAUUCUUGCAAACGAAGGCCCCAGGAUUGAGGAAAUCAUCCAGCUUCUGGAAUGGCGGCUGGAGUCUGACCACUACAUUUUGGUGCUAGAGCGGCCCGUUCCCUUUGAGGAACUGAAUUGGUUUCUCCUGCAACAAAUGGUUACCAUUCAAGAGGACGUGGCACGAGUUAUAAUGCGCCAGGCAACAUUUGCAGCUCAAACAUGCUGCAGACGUGGAGUGUUUCACCGGGACAUAAAGCUGGAAAACCUUCUAAUUAACCCGGACACACUCAAAGUCAAAUUAACUGACUUUGGCUGUGGUGAAUUCCUCAACAGUGUGGGUUACACAUCCUUUGCUGGCACAACAGAGUACUGCCCUCCUGAGUAUAACAUGACCGGCAAGUACCACGGGGAACCGGCGACAGUGUGGUCACUCGGCAUCCUCUUGUUUGUGAUAUUGUGUGGGGAUUUUCCAAAUAGACGAGACCUGCGCUUGAUCAAUGGUAACAACUGGACCAAAGAUGGCUUGUCGGAAGAAUGCAGCGAUUUUAUUCGCUGCUGUCUGCAAAGCGAUCCGAAGCAGCGGAUUGAACUGGAGAAACUUAGUCUCCACGAAUGGUUUAUGAUUGCAGACAAGAAGAAAUGAGGGGGAGCAAAAGAAAAUAGUUAUAGGAUCAUUGCCAGGAUCAACCGGAAGUUCCUUGUGAAGAACAGAGGACACGUAACAACGAACAUUACAAAUGUGCAAUUAUAAGAAAAUUAGAAUAUGAAUGCUCAGAAUAUGAGUCACAUCGUCCCUCCCCAGACCUGGUCCCACAACCAGACUGUGAAGGCUGGGCAGCCAUUUCUCAAUCUCCUCCACAGCAUUGGGACUGUCUCUGGAGGAACACACAGCCAGGAGAGAAACAGCACCACACUCUUAAAAAUAAAGGUGCUUCACGAUGGUUCCAUAAACCUUUAACAUCUGAAGAACCUUUUUGUUUCACAAAAGGUUCUUCGUGGUGAAAGAAGGUUCUUCAGAUUAUAAAAAGGUAAGGAAGAGAUGGUUCUUUAAAGAACCUUUGACUGAAUGGUUCUUCUUGGAACCAAAAAUGGUUCUUCUAUGGCAUCGCUUGAAGAACCUUUUGAAGCACCUUUAUUUUUAAGAGUGCAUCAUGCUGAAAUCUCUCUCGACGUGACAAUAAAUAAAAUGUGUUUCAGCUACACACUGGAUGGACGAUAAGAUCAGGACUGUAGGACUUGAUGACCGGAGCCGCAUCUUUGGUGCAGAACACAUGAGACUGAUCGGCUCCCUGGAAACAGGAUGAGUAGAAGGUUAAUGACUUGUACUAGAC